GUGGGGAAUUUUGGACAAUGGGCGCAAGCCUGAUCCAGCAAUGCCGCGUGCAGGAAGAAGGCCUUCGGGUUGUAAACUGCUUUUGUACGGAACGAAACGGUCCGGGUUAAUACCCUGGGCUAAUGACGGUACCGUAAGAAUAAGCACCGGCUAACUACGUGCCAGCAGCCGCGGUAAUAUGUAGGGUGCAAGCGUUAAUCGGAAUUACUGGGCGUAAAGCGUGCGCAGGCGGUUUUGUAAGACAGGCGUGAAAUCCCCGGGCUCAACCUGGGAAUUGCGCUUGUGACUGCAAGGCUGGAGUGCGGCAGAGGGGGAUGGAAUUCCGCGUGUAGCAGUGAAAUGCGUAGAUAUGCGGAGGAACACCGAUGGCGAAGGCAAUCCCCUGGGCCUGCACUGACGCUCAUGCACGAAAGCGUGGGGAGCAAACAGGAUUAGAAACCCGAGUAGUCC
rnacentral:rRNA from 1 species